GGAGAACCUUGUUGUUGCCUGUGGACUGAGUGCUCUGUGAUCUGGGGCUGGCCAGUGCCACUGACCCUCCAGACAACCAGGAUUCACCAACCCACUAAAAACACUGGUCUUAAAACAUUCUGUCUCACAUGCUGUUGAUAAAUAUAAAUAUCUAGAUGAGGAAUUGUCAAAGUUGGGGAUAGAAAAACAGCCCUUGCUCCUGCAGUUCCCUCCUUCCCUGGCUGGGUUGCCUGCCCUCCAUGCAGAGCACACUUUGCAGGCAGAGGGGGGACCACACCAAGCUGCAGCAAACCCUUCUCCAUGGGUUGGAGCAGCCAUGAGAAUGUUCAACACCUCCACUCCUGGGCUGGCUGGAUUAUUAAAACAACAUUUCCACUUCCAAGUAAGUAAAUAAAUCUCACUGGCAAGUUUGUUUUGUGUCAGCCAACAUCUUAUCUCCCUCAAAACUGGGCUGGUGUCCUGCAAAGCUGGAAACUGAAUAGUCUAAAACCUGAGUGCAACAGCCAAGAGAUACACCAGAUCCAUCUUCUGAGGUAGCAGAUACAGUGAAGUAAGCAAAUACAUUCUAGAAUCCUAUUAUGAAAGUUACAAAAAUAAUUCUGUUUCUUUAAGUUUGAAGUUAUGAACCUUUGCUGUCAUUUUCCCUGCAAGGUUUUGUUUUUUCAGCCUACAGCUAAAAAGAAAGCUUCACCCCAAGAGCUUCAUUGCCCAAAAGAGGCUGUGCUGCAAACCCACCUCAAAAGGCCCAGAACACCUGGUUUCAGGCACAACAGGAAGAUCAGAACAUACCUUAUCAUAAAUAUGCAUAUGCGAGGCAGGAGCCCGCCACCUUCUUGGAGUGAUGCCAUAAUUGACGGAACAAAGUACAACAAAACUUCACAUCACUGGUGGAUCAGAAGAACAGAGACAGCAGAACUGAGAUUGUGUUGUGGUUGGAGAAUGACAGGAAGUUACAUCCAUCCCAUGGUACUGAGAGCACUUGGCUGCAUUUGGCUGAAGCUCUGUGAGCAUCACUCCUGCAGCACCAUCCUUCUCACCACGGCUGCUCCCAAGCCACUGCUCAUUAAAAGCUCAUCUGAGGUAUGA
ensembl:lncRNA